rnacentral:ncRNA from 1 species
CAAUUCGCGAUGAUAGGAACAAGUAAGUUUGUCAUCUGUUUCUCAGAGAGCCGGUGGUUGGUGUGAACCGGUGAAACAAGCAAACCGAAUGGAUCCUUGAGCAUGAGGCUGAACACAGUAUGCAGGUUGCCGGAACCUAGGCCGGAGAACAUCCUCAUCUGUCCAAGUAUGCCGAACGGCAGCUCCCCGUUAUCAGAGCCUGAAGGUCUUAUUGAACAAUUGUUCACGGACAAAUUAGGGUGGUACCACGGUCUCUCGUCCCUUGC